rnacentral:rRNA from 1 species
UGGGGGAUAUUGCACAAUGGGCGAAAGCCUGAUGCAGCGACGCCGCGUGGGGGAUGAAGGCCUUCGGGUUGUAAACUUCUUUUGCUCUGAACAAGGCAUGCUAAUGGGUGUGUUGAGUGUAGGGGUUGAUUAGCGCCGGCUAACUACGUGCCAGCAGCCGCGGUAAUACGUAGGGCGCGAGCGUUGUCCGGAAUUAUUGGGCGUAAAGGGCUUGUAGGUGGCUGGUUGCGUCUGUCGUGAAAGCUCAUGGCUUAACUGUGGGUUUGCGGUGGGUACGGGCUGGCUUGAGUGCAGUAGGGGAGGCUGGAAUUCCUGGUGUAGCGAUGGAAUGCGCAGAUAUCAGGAGGAAUACCGGUGGCGAAGGCGGGUCUCUGGGCUGUUACUGACACUGAGGAGCGAAAGCAUGGGGAGCGAACAGG